rnacentral:rRNA from 1 species
GACGAACGCUGGCGGCGUGGAUUAGGCAUGCAAGUCGAACGGUAUCAUCCUUUCGGGGGUGAGAGAGUGGCGAACUGGUGAGUAACACGUAGGUUAUCUACCCUCAAGACGGGGACAACCCAGGGAAACUUGGGCUAAUACCGGAUGUGAGCAACUUUUAGUUGUUUGAAAGGUGGCGUAAGCUGUCGCUUGGGGAUGAGCCUGCGUCCUAUUAGUUAGUUGGUGAGGUAACGGCUCACCUAGGCAAUGAUAGGUAGGCGGCCUUAACGGGUGGUCGCCCACACUGGGAUUGAGAUACGGCCCAGACUCCUACGGGAGGCAGCAGUCGAGAAUAGUCUACAAUGGUCGGAAGACUGAUAGUGCGACGCCGCGUGAACGAUGAAUCCCUUCGGGGUGUAAAGUUCUUUUAUAUGUGAGCAGUGCUUCUUAUAUUAACAGUAUGGGGAGAGAGAUAUUAGCAUAUGAAUAAAGCAACGGCUAAACUCCGUGCCAGCAGCCGCGGUAAAACGU